rnacentral:rRNA from 1 species
GCAAGUCGAGCGGUAGAGAGGUGCUUGCACCUCUUGAGAGCGGCGGACGGGUGAGUAAAGCCUAGGAAUCUGCCUGGUAGUGGGGGAUAACGCUCGGAAACGGACGCUAAUACCGCAUACGUCCUACGGGAGAAAGCAGGGGACCUUCGGGCCUUGCGCUAUCAGAUGAGCCUAGGUCGGAUUAGCUAGUUGGUGAGGUAAUGGCUCACCAAGGCGACGAUCCGUAACUGGUCUGAGAGGAUGAUCAGUCACACUGGAACUGAGACACGGUCCAGACUCCUACGGGAGGCAGCAGUGGGGAAUAUUGGACAAUGGGCGAAAGCCUGAUCCAGCCAUGCCGCGUGUGUGAAGAAGGUCUUCGGAUUGUAAAGCACUUUAAGUUGGGAGGAAGGGCAUUAACCUAAUACGUUAGUGUUUUGACGUUACCGACAGAAUAAGCACCGGCUAACUCUGUGCCAGCAGCCGCGGUAAUACAGAGGGUGCAAGCGUUAAUCGGAAUUACUGGGCGUAAAGCGCGCGUAGGUGGUUCGUUAAGUUGGAUGUGAAAUCCCCGGGCUCAACCUGGGAACUGCAUUCAAAACUGUCGAGCUAGAGUAUGGUAGAGGGUGGUGGAAUUUCCUGUGUAGCGGUGAAAUGCGUAGAUAUAGGAAGGAACACCAGUGGCGAAGGCGACCACCUGGACUGAUACUGACACUGAG